rnacentral:rRNA from 1 species
UACGUAGGGUGCGAGCGUUGUCCGGAAUUAUUGGGCGUAAAGGGCUCGUAGGCGGUUUGUCGCGUCGGGAGUGAAAACCAGGUGCUUAACACCUGGCUUGCUUUCGAUACGGGCAGACUAGAGGUAUGCAGGGGAGAACGGAAUUCCUGGUGUAGCGGUGAAAUGCGCAGAUAUCAGGAGGAACACCGGUGGCGAAGGCGGUUCUCUGGGCAUGACCUGACGCUGAGGAGCGAAAGCGUGGGGAGCGAACAGG